rnacentral:rRNA from 1 species
AAUACGGGAGGGGCAAGCGUUAUCUGGAAUGACUGGGCGUAAAGUGUCCGUAGACUGUAAUGUAAGUUAAUUGUUAAAUUUUAAAGCCUAACUUUAAAACAGCAAUUAAUACUGCUUUACUUGAGUAUGAUACAGAAGAGUGGAAUUUUAUAUGAAGGGGUAACACCCGUAGAUAUAUAAAGGAACUCCAUUAGCGAAGGCGACUCUUUAGUACACACUGACGUUGAGGGACG